UACGUAGGUCCCGAGCGUUGUCCGGAUUUAUUGGGCGUAAAGCGAGCGCAUGUGGUUUAUUAAGUCUGGUGUAAAAGGCAGUGGCUCAACCAUUGUAUGCAUUGGAAACUGGUAGACUUGAGUGCAGGAGAGGAGAGUGGAAUUCCAUGUGUAGCGGUGAAGUGCGUAGAUAUAUGGAGGAACACCGGUGGCGAAAGCGGCUCUCUGGCCUGUAACUGACACUGAGGCUCGAAAGCGUGGGGAGCAAACAGG
rnacentral:rRNA from 1 species